rnacentral:rRNA from 1 species
UGUCGCCCGCAAGGGCGCAUGGUGGAUGCCUUGGCAGACAGUACCGACGAAGGACGUUUGAGGAUGCGAUAAGCCUCGGGGAGCCUCCAGCAUGGCUUCGAUCCGAGGAUUUCCGAAUGGGGCAACCCGCCGGCCGUCAUGGGCCGGCACCGCAGGCUUCUGCGGGGGGUACGCAGGGAAGUGAAACAUCUCAGUACCUGCAGGAAGGGAUACUCCGUGAGUAGUGGCGAGCGAAAGCGGAUCAGACCAAACCGCGUGCGCGUGAUACCCGUCGGGGGUUGCGUGCGCGGUGUUGAGGGAGCGCGUGUCCCGGUUCCGACGGACCGGGCGGGAGUCAUAAAACGGCUUGCCAGGGGAACAGGCUUGAAGGCCUGGCCGCAGAGGGUGCCAGCCCCGUACCUGGACGCUUGCCGUCUUCCGAUCGCGUGUCCCAAGUAGCGCGGGCCUCGUGGAAUCCCGCGUGAAUCCGCACCGACCGUGGUGUAAGUCUAAGCAUACCUGUCUGACCGAUAGCGUACCAGUACCGUGAGGGAAAGGUGAAAAGCACCCCGGGAGGGGAGUGAAAGAGUUCCUGAAACCGUGCGCCUACGAUCCGUCGGAGCCUCCUUGUGGGGUGACGGCGUGCCUAUCGAAAAAUGAGUCUGCGAGUCAGUGAUGCGUGGCGAGGCUAACCCGUCGUGGGGCAGCCGUAGCGAAGGCGAGUCCGAACAGGGCGUUUCUAUAGUCGCGUGUCCUGGACCCGAAGCGGGAUGAUCUAGCCCUGGGCAGGUUGAAGCGCGGGUAAGACCGCGUGGAGGACCGAACCCACCUGGGUUGAAAACCGGGGGGAUGACCUGGGGCUAGGGGUGAAAGGCCAAUCAAAUUCCGUGAUAGCUGGUUCUCUCCGAAAUGCAUUUAGGUGCAGCGUCGGCUUAUUGCAUCGCGGGGGUAGAGCUACCGGAUGCUUGCGGGCCCUUGUGGGGUACCAACAGCAGCCGAACUCCGAAUACCGUUGAUGUGUAUGCCGGCAGUGAGUCGGCGGGGGAUAAGCUCCGUCGUCGAGAGGGAGACAGCCCAGACCGUCGUCCAAGGUCCCCAAGCGUGUGCUAAGUGGGAAAGGAUGUGGGGCCGCAUAGACAGCCAGGAGGUUGGCUCAGAAGCAGCCAUCCUUGAAAGAGUGCGUAACAGCUCACUGGUCUAGUGGUCCCGCGCCGACAAUGUAGCGGGGCUCAAGCACACCACCGAAGACGCGGCGGCGCGUGUAUGCGCGCCGGGUAGGAGAGCGUCCUGCAAGGGGCGAAGCGGCCGGGUGACCGUGCCGUGGACUUUGCGGGAGUGAGAAUGCAGACAUGAGUAGCGAGAGACGGGUGAGGAUCCCGUCCGCCGGAUGACCAAGGGUUCCGGGGCCACGUUCGUCGUCCCCGGGUGAGUCGGGUCCUAAGGCGAGGCCGACAGGCGUAGUCGAAUGGAUGAACGGGUGGAUAUUCCCGUACCGGCAGCGAACCGACAGGACCGAGGCGGUGAGUACUAACCUCCGUCGCGGGCCGUUCCCCUCCUUCGGGUGGGGUCCGGCGCGUGGCGUUGGGAGCGUAGCCGUGGUAGGUGAGCGCAGGGGUGACACGGAAUGGGAGCCGGCCGCGGAGGUGGUUUUCCGUGGUCAAGCACGCAGCCAGUCGCACAGGCAAAUCCGUGCGGCGCGUAUGGCGAGGUGCGAUGAUGGGAGCCGUUUCGGCUCGAUAUCCGGUGGUCCAGGCCGUCGAGAAAAGCCCCGGCGUCAGGCGCGUUGCCGCCCGUACCCCAAACCGACACUGGUGGUCAGGUAGAGAAUACCAAGGCGAUCGAGCGAAUCCUGGUCAAGGAACUCGGCAAACCGCUCCCGUGCCUUCGGCAUAAGGGAGACCCCCGCGGGUGAACGGACAUGCUCCGGGAGCGUGUGGGGGUGGCACAGACCAGGGGGUAGCGACUGUUUACCAAAAACACAGGUGCAUGCGAAGGCGUAAGCCGCUGUAUAUGCACUGACGCCUGCCCGGUGCCGGAAGGUUAAGAGGAUCCGUCAGCCCCUUGGGGGUGAAGCGGUGAAUUCAAGCCCCGGUAAACGGCGGUGGUAACUAUAACCAUCCUAAGGUAGCGAAAUUCCUUGUCGGGUAAGUUCCGACCUGCACGAAUGGCGUAACGACUUCCCCGCUGUCUCGAC